GCAGAAAAAUAAUUUGGCACAGCGUCCGGUAACCCUCUAGGCCCUGGAGGGGAUCAGGACGGCAGUGAGGAACCGUGGGGCUGAGUGGCUCCGGGCUUGGCUGGGAUCGGUGUUGGCGACGGAGGAGCAAGAUGGCGGCGGUGGUCAAUCUGCAAAGGCCAGGAGGCCCCCACGUCGGUUGAGCCCAGGCUCCUAUGGUGGAGGAAGUGGUGUUCACGAGGUGGUUGGAGCGGGCAGUGAUCCGGGCUGCAGGCGCUGCGGCGGCGUGGCUGAGGCCCCGCCUCCCAGUGCACCGCUGGAGCCUCAGAGGGGCUCCUUGCGACAGGCAGCUGCCCAGGACACUGACAACGCAGCCCCUGUGCCCCUGUGGGCCCCUUGGAAUGCCACGUGGGACUGGCCACCGGCUGGGAGGGCAGCCCCUAGCGUGGAUGUUGAGAACAGCGUCAACGCCGGCUCCAGGGCCACAUGGAGCUGGCCCUUUACAGGACAGACAAGUGCAGGGGGUCUUUCUGGGGGCCCCUUAGGUGGGAAUGGUGGUACUGGGGGCGACCUGGGUCUCGC